rnacentral:rRNA from 1 species
CAGCAGCCGCGGUAAUACGAAGGUCCCGAGCGUUGUUCGGAAUCACUGGGCGUAAAGGGAGCGUAGGCGGCGUGGUAAGUCAGAUGUGAAAUCCCGGGGCUCAACCCCGGAACUGCAUCCGAUACUGCCGUGCUAGAGGAUUGGAGAGGUAGCUGGAAUUCUUGGUGUAGCAGUGAAAUGCGUGGAGAUCAAGAGGAACACUCGUGGCGAAAGCGAGCUACUGGACAAUAUCUGACGCUGGGGCUCGAAGGCCAGGGUAGCGAAAGGGAUUAGAUACCCCAGUAGUCCCUGUCUCUUAUAC